UCCUCGGUAGCUCAGCGGUAGAGCAACCGGCUGUUAACCGGUUGGUCGCUGGUUCGAAUCCGGCCCGGGGAGCCA
rnacentral:tRNA from 24 species